UCUCCCCCAGGUCACUUUAUCUGCAGUGAGCCUGGCCUCUCCUCAGAUGUCCCACCCCAGAGCCUGCUAUAUAGUGGGGGACAUGCAAAUAGGGCCCUCCCUCUGCUGAUGAAAACCAGCCCAGCCCUGACCCUGCAGCUCUGGGAGAGGAGCCCAGCACUGGAAGUCCACAGUGUUCCAUUUGGUGAUCAGCACUGAACACAGAGGACUCACCAUGGAGUUGGGGCUGAGCUGGGUUUUCCUUGUUGCUAUUUUAAGAGGUGUCCAGUGUGAGGUGCAGCUGGUGGAGUCUGGAGGAGGCUUGGCACAGCCUGGGGGGUCCCUGAGACUCUCCUGUGCAGCCUCUGGAUUCACCUUCAGUAGCUAUGGCAUGAGCUGGGUCCGCCAGGCUCCAGGGAAGGGGCUGGAGUGGGUCUCAGGUAUUAGUAAUACUGGUGGUAGCAUAUACUACGCAGACUCCGUGAAGGGCCGAUUCACCAUCUCCAGAGACAACUCAAAGAACACGCUCUCCCUGCAAAUGAACAGCCUGAGAGCUGAGGACACGGCUGUCUAUUACUGUGCGAAAGACACAGUGAGGGGAAGUCAGUGUGAGCCCAGACACAAACCUCCCUGCAGGAACGCGGGGGGAAAUCAGCGUCAGGGGGCGCUCGGGACCCACUGAUCAGAGUCAACCCCAGAGGCAGGUGCAGACGGAGGCUGAUUUCCUGUCA